rnacentral:rRNA from 1 species
UACGUAGGGUGCAAGCGUUAAUCGGAAUUACUGGGCGUAAAGCGUGCGCAGGCGGUUUUGUAAGUCUGUCGUGAAAUCCCCGGGCUCAACCUGGGAAUGGCAAUGGAUACUGGCAAGCUAGAGUGUGUCAGAGGAUGGUGGAAUUCCCGGUGUAGCGGUGAAAUGCGUAGAGAUCGGGAGGAACAUCAGUGGCGAAGGCGGCCAUCUGGGUCAAGACUGACGCUCAUGCACGAAAGCGUGGGGAGCAAACAGG